rnacentral:rRNA from 1 species
GAUGAACGCUAGCUACAGGCUUAACACAUGCAAGUCGAGGGGCAGCAUGGUCUUAGCUAGCUAAGGCCGAUGGCGACCGGCGCACGGGUGAGUAACACGUAUCCAACCUGCCGUCUACUCUUGGACAGCCUUCUGAAAGGAAGAUUAAUACAAGAUGGCAUCAUGAGUCCGCAUGUUCACAUGAUUAAAGGUAUUCCGGUAGACGAUGGGGAUGCGUUCCAUUAGAUAGUAGGCGGGGUAACGGCCCACCUAGUCUUCGAUGGAUAGGGGUUCUGAGAGGAAGGUCCCCCACAUUGGAACUGAGACACGGUCCAAACUCCUACGGGAGGCAGCAGUGAGGAAUAUUGGUCAAUGGGCGAGAGCCUGAACCAGCCAAGUAGCGUGAAGGAUGACUGCCCUAUGGGUUGUAAACUUCUUUUAUAAAGGAAUAAAGUCGGGUAUGGAUACCCGUUUGCAUGUACUUUAUGAAUAAGGAUCGGCUAACUCCGUGCCAGCAGCCGCGGUAAUACGGAGGAUCCGAGCGUUAUCCGGAUUUAUUGGGUUUAAAGGGAGCGUAGAUGGAUGUUUAAGUCAGUUGUGAAAGUUUGCGGCUCAACCGUAAAAUUGCAGUUGAUACUGGAUAUCUUGAGUGCAGUUGAGGCAGGCGGAAUUCGUGGUGUAGCGGUGAAAUGCUUAGAUAUCACGAAGAACUCCGAUUGCGAAGGCAGCCUGCUAAGCUGCAACUGACAUUGAGGCUCGAAAGUGUGGGUAUCAAACAGGAUUAGAUACCCUGGUAGUCCACACGGUAAACGAUGAAUACUCGCUGUUUGCGAUAUACAGCAAGCGGCCAAGCGAAAGCGUUAAGUAUUCCACCUGGGGAGUACGCCGGCAACGGUGAAACUCAAAGGAAUUGACGGGGGCCCGCACAAGCGGAGGAACAUGUGGUUUAAUUCGAUGAUACGCGAGGAACCUUACCCGGGCUUAAAUUGCAGAUGAAUUACGGUGAAAGCCGUAAGCCGCAAGGCAUCUGUGAAGGUGCUGCAUGGUUGUCGUCAGCUCGUGCCGUGAGGUGUCGGCUUAAGUGCCAUAACGAGCGCAACCCUUGUUGUCAGUUACUAACAGGUUCCGCUGAGGACUCUGACAAGACUGCCAUCGUAAGAUGUGAGGAAGGUGGGGAUGACGUCAAAUCAGCACGGCCCUUACGUCCGGGGCUACACACGUGUUACAAUGGGGGGUACAGAGGGCCGCUACCACGCGAGUGGAUGCCAAUCCCAAAAACCUCUCUCAGUUCGGACUGGAGUCUGCAACCCGACUCCACGAAGCUGGAUUCGCUAGUAAUCGCGCAUCAGCCACGGCGCGGUGAAUACGUUCCCGGGCCU